rnacentral:misc_RNA from 1 species
CAUUGUUCGCAAUGAUGUCGAUCUGCCGCUCAAGCGACAUCUGCCGCGACAAAGCGACGAGAAGCGUAUUCUCCAUCGGCCAAUCUCCCCUUGUUGAGCCGCGCCGUGCCUCUCCCAAGGCGUGACGCGGAUCGUGCGAACCGUUGAAGCUCUCCCAAGCCGCGGUUCACCAUCACCAAUGCCAGAGGUGUGCCAACUCAAAAAUACAAGUAAUUUCAAUUUGUUAUUGAUUUCGAGGG